rnacentral:lncRNA from 1 species
AAAGAGUCAUGGAUAUUCACCUCGUGUAUAACAUGUACAAUACGAUAAUAGUUUAUUCAAAUGAUGCGUGUUGCGAUCACCGAAUUUUUACGAGAAAGAUCACGCUGAGUUCACCUGCAUACGGAAAACAUAUCGGCGAAUUGUUAACUGGAAGUAAACAAUUAAAAAAUUUACAUUUCAUCUAAAUUUGGACAAAUUAUAGAAUUUUAUUGCAAAAAG